UACGAAGGGGGCUAGCGUUGCUCGGAAUCACUGGGCGUAAAGCGCACGUAGGCGGAUUGCUAAGUCAGGGGCGAAAUCCUGGAGCUCAACUCCAGAACUGCCCUUGAUACUGGCGGUCUCGAGUCCGGGAGAGGUGAGUGGAACUGCGAGUGUAGAGGUGAAAUUCGUAGAUAUUCGCAAGAACACCAGUGGCGAAGGCGGCUCACUGGCCCGAUACUGACGCUGAUGCACGAAAGCGUGGGGAGCAAACAGG
rnacentral:rRNA from 1 species